CACUGUAAAUGGCUCACGUUCGAUGCAGU
rnacentral:sRNA from 1 species